CGGCGGACGGUGGUAGUAACACGUGGAUAACCUACCUAUAAGACUGGGAUAACUUCGGGAAACCGGAGCUAAUACCGGAUAAUAUAUUGAACCGCAUGGUUCAAUGGUGAAAGACGGUUUUGCUGUCACUUAUAGAUGGAUCCGCGCCGCAUUAGCUAGUUGGUAAGGUAACGGCUUACCAAGGCAACGAUGCGUAGCCGACCUGAGAGGGUGAUCGGCCACACUGGAACUGAGACACGGUCCAGACUCCUACGGGAGGCAGCAGC
rnacentral:rRNA from 1 species